UACGUAGGGGGCAAGCGUUGUCCGGAAUCAUUGGGCGUAAAGCGCGCGUAGGCGGCCCGGUAAGUCCGCUGUAAAAGUCCAGGGCUCAACCCUGGAAAGCCGGUGGAUACUGUCGGGCUAGAGUCCGGAAGAGGCGAGUGGAACUCCUGGUGUAGCGGUGGAAUGCGCAGAUAUCAGGAAGAACACCGACGGCGAAGGCAGCUCGCUGGGACGGUACUGACGCUGAGGCGCGAAAGCGUGGGGAGCGAACAGG
rnacentral:rRNA from 1 species